GAAGAUGAUGCAUGCACUGGGCUCUGAGCAGUUUUUUGCUGUAUUAUUGAUGGAAAUGCAGCCUAGAAAGCUAUUUCUGACCU